rnacentral:rRNA from 1 species
UACGAAGGGGGCUAGCGUUGCUCGGAAUUACUGGGCGUAAAGCGCACGUAGGCGGCUUUCUAAGUCGGGGGUGAAAUCCUGGAGCUCAACUCCAGAACUGCCUUCGAUACUGGAAAGCUCGAGUCCGGGAGAGGUGAGUGGAACUGCGGGUGUAGAGGUGAAAUUCGUAGAUAUUCGCAAGAACACCAGUGGCGAAGGCGGCUCACUGGCCCGGUACUGACGCUGAGGUGCGAAAGCGUGGGGAGCAAACAGG